UCUAGGAGGAAUGUGAUCCUCAAGGAUCAUGAGCACUGGCCCACUGGGAUCCAGGGGCAAGUGUCGUAUGGGGAAGACAUGCAGGUUUGAGACUUGCAUAUCAUUUGACAGAUGUUUGGAUCCGGGCUCUGCGGGCUCAACCAGAGGAAGCA
rnacentral:lncRNA from 1 species